rnacentral:tRNA from 1 species
GGGGUUGUAGCUCAGCAGUAGAGCACUUGCCUCGCAUGCAUGAGGCACUGGGUUCAAUUCUCAGCAUCAGUA